CAAUGAGCAUGGACAGGUGAUCAUCAAGGUUUUGGUCUCGGGCCAAUGACUGAAGGCCUUAUCAAACGAUACAGAGUGGCUGGGGUGGCUCCUCCCGAAGUGCUGUAUGUCGACUGAGACUACUGUGGCUACUCUCUUUUGUGGAGGAUGUUUGAAGAGUGGGAGCAAAUGACCAUCCGGUUAGAUGUAUAGCACUUCAUGCGGACGUUUGCUGUGGGUUGCACCACCGACAGUUAUAUGCCACAUUUAUGAGUCGCCUCAGCCGUUGUAUUUUCAUGUGGGACCCGGUCGACCUGACGGCCCUGAAGACAGUGAAGCAUGCAGAUCUAGAAGCAUAUGGGAAACCAUCAUCCGAGGCUGAUGUGCUACGCUGUAUCAGUCGUAGCGAGCUAGCGCUACAUUGCAGGAGAACCACUCACGGGACCAAAGAGACCCUGGCACUGAUUGAGAGCGAUGUUCAGCCCUUUGAUGGAGAUGCUGGUCGUGACACUCAGGGAGUCCCACUAAUAAACUCAGCCCGUAUGAGAGUCCCAGCGGAAACAUGUGGCCUGCAUCCAGGAUCCUGCCGUUGUGCAGCUCUACAUGCAGACGGGUACUGUAAUGAAGAGAGGGCACCGCCUGCCAACCACUCCACUUAAGUCAUUUCACCUGCACCUUAACAGAUUCAUCCCAGGUACGCUGGCAAGUGACAGCUUCUUUCAGUCAUAUCUUUUGGAUGGACUUGCAAUGUGGAAUGAGGACCGGGCAGUGGCAGCAACCAACAUUCCUACAAUCAUCUUCUGCGUCAUGCGGUCAACACUCUUGUAGAGGAGCUUAUUGGCAUGAAAAUCAUCCCUUAUGUUGGGCCAAGAAAGUACACUGGGGAGCUUAUUGGAGUGGAAUAUCUUUACAAGCAAACUGGUAAAGUUCUGCAGGACUACAAGUUGGCCAUUGAAGAGUCAGAGUAUACCACUGAGGUUGGUAUAGAGGUGGAUGAAGGUUAAGCUGAACUUGAGGAGUUUCAGGACAUAACCGUCCUCACCUUUGACACCUGCUGCCUCUUCACAAGCAUCAGUGUCUGCAGCAUCAUCUCCAACUCCUCCAGCAACCAGCCCCACGUCAUCACUGUUUGUGUUCCCUCCAUCAGUGUCAUCUCCUGUCAGAAGCUCACUGCACACUCAAUCAAAUCUAGAACUCUUUCCUGGAGCACAUAGCUUGGACCGAUUAUCUGCAGAAAUGGAUCGUCCAACAUCGGAAGAGAACACUUCAUAAUCUUUAGGGUUAUGGAGCCGUGCAAGACUUGGCAGAGUUUUUGGUUAGCCACAGAGAGCACCGUCUGGCUUUGUCAGGAGAAGAGUGCAUCAAGAUCAUCUCCUUAUGGCAGGUAUUGGGGGAGUAUGACAAGAAAAAAAACAUUUACCCACCACGUAACCAAACCAACCUAAAACAGGGAUGAUUCAGGGCCACUAAGAAGAUUGUGGCCCCAGGUGUGGAGAGAACCAAAAGGUGUUUCGUUGGGGCUCAUAGUCCUGCACAGUGGCCUGACUGACUGCAACCAAGUGGUGGAGGCCAUUUUCACAAGGCUCUGUGCUCUCUACCCAAGAGUGCAUCCUCACCAGUGCUAAGAUCAUGAGUGAGACCACCAUCCAGCUCCCUGAAGUGAAUGCUGUAACAGUCACACAAUGCACAUUUUGCUGAGGACAGCUUCCUCAAUCUCCAUCAGUUUAAUGCCGGAUUCACACAAAGAUUAUUCCUGAAAGAUGGAGCAGUUCCCUCUUUGUCUGGAGAAGGCGUUGUUUAUGGACCACAACCAGAGAGCAGCCUGCUCUAAGCUGGUGUCGAAUCACAACACAGGAACCGCUGGCACAAUCAGAACUCGUUACGUGUUUCUGAAGGAGGGACUUCAUAGAACAAGGAAGUCAUCAGUGGUAUACAGAUAGGUUCAGCAGGCGUGGCAAGUCACAGGAACAGGAGAUUUUGAAGCAGGGUAUCCAAGCCCCAGAUGCACCCAUGGCAGGACCCGAGACGCUUCCUGCGGCUAUGCAGAAAGGACCAACUCUCUAUCCAGGCAAUUUGGCUGAGCCUCACCUUUUUAUCCUGCCACCAAACACUGCUGGGAAGGCAAAACUUAAGAGGAGGUCGCAACCCCAGGCCAUCUCCCAGGCUCCAACAUCACAUCAAGGACUUCCUGUCAUUGCACCAGCACUAGCCGUCUCUCUCCCUUUCAUUUUACCAUCUGUGCAGCUUCCGCGCCAUCCUCUACAGUGCCAGGUACCUCACAGGUGAUGUUCUUCAACCUCCCAUUACCUUCAGCUAUGUCACCAUCCGCUCGGACACAGACAUUCGGUCAAGAUGUUCCUCACUCCACCCAGCAAUACAGAAAGAGAAAACUGGAGAGAGAGCGCACUGGAACUGUCACAAGAAAAGAUGUGAAGAAGACAGACGUCAUUCUUUGCAGAAAGUGUAACAAAGAGAGAAAGCCACAAUCACAUCUUUAGUACUUUGAUAACUGGUUCUGCAAAGAGUCUGAGACUCAAUCAUAUGGUGAAUGGAGGGCUGUGCUGCAGGAACGAGGUUAUAGGGAAAAAAAAGGGAAAUGGCAACCCUCAGCUUCUUAAAGCUGCCAUUUCAGCACAUGAUAUUUUUAUUUGGUUAAUGUUUGCUUUAUAGUGCAAUUUACAAGUCUCCCACAAUGACAGCUGUCUCUAAAAUGUGUAAUUACUGUGUGUUUCCUAUAUAUGUAUAUUCCCAACAGAUGGUAUGUUUAUGUUUUUUUUUAUUAUCAUUAUUUUGGCUAAUAUAUGAAAAGAGUGGUAAAUUUUUGUUUGGAUUUACUUUUUUUUUUUUUUUUUGGCGAAUAUGUCAAAAUUGCACUACUGUCGUAAAUGUUUAUUUUGGUUUACAAUUUAUUAUUAUUUUCUUAGUCUGAUGUCAAAAUUGCACUGCAAAUUGCACUGUUAAUCUACUCACCAUUGUGUGACUGUUGCACAUUCACUUCUGGGAGCUGGAUGGUGGUCUCACUCAUCACCUUAGCAUUGGUGAGGAUGCACUCUUGGAUGUGCUUGUGAGCACGUGCUACAACAGUGAAGCGGGACACCCUCACUCCAUCACAGCGCACCGCGUUUGGGUAGAGAGCACAGAGCCUUGUGAAAAUGGCCUCCACCACUCGGUUGCAGUCAGGCCACUGUGCAGGACUGUGAGCCCCAACGAAACACCUGCAAAUUUAUAUUUAUUAUAUUUUUUUACACUGAUAUGUAAAUUUUACUACUGUGGUAAACAUUUUUGGUUUUAUAUAUUUUAAAUUGAUGUGUCAAAAUUGCAUUACUGUUCUAAAUGUUUUAUUGGCUUUAAAAUAUAAAUGCAGAUUAAAAGGGUUGUGAAUAUUUGCCCUCACACUAUUGUUAUU